rnacentral:misc_RNA from 1 species
UUUUUAAUUAAAAACUAGAAUGAAAGGUUAUACAUUUAAAUUUCUUUAUUAAUUUCUUAUAUAUAAUUUAUAUUAAAUAUAAAAAUAUAUUUUUUAAAUAAAAAGACGAUAAGACCCUAUUAAAUUUUACUUAUAGUUUAACUGGGGAAGUUUUAAAAAUAAAAUUUUUUAUAAAAAUAAAAAUAAAUCUAAUAAAAUUAAAAUUAAAUUAAAUUACUAUAGGGAUAACAGCAUUAUAUUUUUUAAAAGUUCAUAUUAAAAAAAAUGAUUGUGACCUCGAUGUUGAAUUAUAUUUUCUUUAUUAAUGCAAUAAUUAUAAAAGUAGAUCUGUUCGAUCUUUAAAAUAUUACAUGAUUUGAGUUCAAACCGGUGUAAACCAGGUUGGUUUCUAUCUUUUUAUAAAUUCAUAUAUAUAUAUAUAUAUAUACAUAAAUUUUUCAAGUACGAAAGGAAAAAAAAAUUUUUAUUUUAAUUAAUUAGCAAUUAAUAUGCAUUAGAUUUAGAAUCUAAAUAAACUAUUAUU